UAAUAAGUGUUUUAUGGCACUUUUUAAAUCCAUAUCCACCUUGUGUGCAAUGUCAGUCGAUCUUCUUGGAGAUCGACCAAACAUCAACCUUUAUCUUUUAACUCUUUGUCUGAAAAAUAUUAUGAAUAACUUAAUUCAAAAUA
rnacentral:misc_RNA from 1 species